rnacentral:rRNA from 1 species
GAUGAACGCUGGCGGCGUGCCUAAUACAUGCCAGUCGAGCGAACAGACGAGGAGCUUGCUCCUCUGACGUUAGCGGCGGACGGGUGAGUAACACGUGGAUAACCUACCUAUAAGACUGGGAUAACUUCGGGAAACCGGAGCUAAUACCGGAUAAUAUAUUGAACCGCAUGGUUCAAUAGUGAAAGACGGUUUUGCUGUCACUUAUAGAUGGAUCCGCGCCGCAUUAGCUAGUUGGUAAGGUAACGGCUUACCAAGGCGACGAUGCGUAGCCGACCUGAGAGGGUGAUCGGCCACACUGGAACUGAGACACGGUCCAGACUCCUACGGGAGGCAGCAGUAGGGAAUCUGCCGCAAUGGGCGAAAGCCUGACGGAGCAACGCCGCGUGAGUGAUGAAGGUCUUCGGAUCGUAAAACUCUGUUAUUAGGGAAGAACAAAUGUGUAAGUAACUAUGCACGUCUUGACGGUACCUAAUCAGAAAGCCACGGCUAACUACGUG